rnacentral:misc_RNA from 1 species
GAUGAAGAACGCAGCGAAAUGCGAUAAGUAAUGUGAAUUGCAGAAUUCAGUGAAUCAUCGAAUCUUUGAACGCACAUUGCGCCCCGUGGUAUUCCGCGGGGCAUGCCUGUUCGAGCGUCAUUUCACCACUCAAGCCUCGCUUGGUAUUGGGCGCCGCGUGAUUUCCACGCGCGCCUCAAAGUCUUUCCGGCUGAGUCGUCCGUCUCCCAGAGUUGUGAUACAUUUUCGCUUCGGAGUGCGGGUGGCCGCGGCCGUUAAAUCUCCAUCAAAGGUUGACCUCGGAUCAGGUAGGGAUACCCGCUGAACUUAAGCAUAUCAAUAAGCGGAGGA